rnacentral:rRNA from 1 species
GAUGAACGCUGGCGGCGUGCCUAAUACAUGCAAGUCGAGCGAACGGACGAGAAGCUUGCUUCUCUGAUGUUAGCGGCGGACGGGUGAGUAACACGUGGAUAACCUACCUAUAAGACUGGGAUAACUUCGGGAAACCGGAGCUAAUACCGGAUAAUAUUUUGAACCGCAUGGUUCAAAAGUGAAAGACGGUCUUGCUGUCACUUAUAGAUGGAUCCGCGCUGCAUUAGCUAGUUGGUAAGGUAACGGCUUACCAAGGCAACGAUGCAUAGCCGACCUGAGAGGGUGAUCGGCCACACUGGAACUGAGACACGGUCCAGACUCCUACGGGAGGCAGCAGUAGGGAAUCUUCCACAAUGGGCGAAAGCCUGACGGAGCAACGCCGCGUGAGUGAUGAAGGUCUUCGGAUCGUAAAACUCUGUUAUUAGGGAAGAACAUAUGUGUGAGUAACUGUGCACAUCUUGACGGUACCUAAUCAGAAAGCCACGGCUAACUACGUG